rfam:Salmo salar isolate Sally breed double haploid chromosome ssa03, whole genome shotgun sequence.
UUCACUUUUAAUUGCAAGCCGCUCUGGAUAAGAGUGUCUGCUAAAUGACUCAAA